CCAGCUUUGCGCGCCGUCACCCCUCCCCCACGCCCUCACUCUCUUCCUGGAGACAGGAAAGACACAACACCUGGCUCAAGGUGUAUACCGUCCCAGUGGAGACAAUGAGGACAUGAAUGGAAGAAGACAUGAAGAAAUGAAGACAGCAUGAGAGGUGUGGGCCACACAGCAGACAGGGAGACAAGGCAACACUGGUGGCAGGUAACUGAGUGGGCCUCACACCUGUGUUCUCAGACUGGCUGAGCUGGGAGGGUGGGGAUUUGAACCUACGUGUAAGCUGCCUCUAGUUGGCCAGUGUUUGACCCCAACAUCCUUAAGCCCCCAGCAGGAGUGGAUGCCUUUUUUCUGAGCUCACAGGGCUGCUGUGUUUUUGCAUGGGGAACGGUUUCUCUAUUGUAUUAGUUUUCUGUUGCUGCUGUAACAAAUGGCCAUAAACUUAGGGCUUAAAACAUACAAAUUGUUUUUUUUCUUUUUAUUGUGCUUUAAGUGAAAGUUUACAGUUCAAGUCAGUUUCUCAUACAAAAACUUAUACACACAUUGUUAUGUAACCCUAGUUGUUCUCCCUAUAAUGUGACAGCACGUUCUUCCUUUCCAUCCUGUAUUU